CUCUCAGCCUCCACCAGUCAAGAGGAGUGUGACAAGGACUAUUUCAAAGACCGAGAUUCCCCGGAGAUGUGUCAAAAAUGCAGCAGGUACUGCAGAGGGAGCUGCUGGGUCUGGCCCCUUCAUCUCGUGGACUUGGGGGUAUGAAACCUCUGCUCCUGGAAGCGUCUCUUCAGCUCUGCCUCUUUCUGUGUCCAAAUCACAUCACACAUAUCCUGGGUCUCUGGCUUCUCUGCUUCUCGCCGCCUGAACACAAAGUUCCUUCCACAGUGAAACCCAGCUGUGGAAAUCUCCCAGUCCUCAUUGAAUGUUCUCCCAGGAGUGACACA